UACGUAGGGGGCAAGCGUUGUCCGGAAUCAUUGGGCGUAAAGCGCGCGUAGGCGGCCCUGUAAGUCCGUUGUGAAAGUCAAAGGCUCAACCUUUGAAAGCCGAUGGAUACUGCAGGGCUCGAGUUCGGAAGAGGCGAGUGGAAUUCCUGGUGUAGCGGUGGAAUGCGCAGAUAUCAGGAGGAACACCAAUAGCGAAGGCAGCUCGCUGGGACGAUACUGACGCUAAGGCGCGAAAGCGUGGGGAGCGAACAGGA
rnacentral:rRNA from 1 species